rnacentral:hammerhead_ribozyme from 1 species
AUCCAGCUGACGAGUCCCAAAUAGGAUGAGAUGCGCGUUAUCCUGAAU